rnacentral:tRNA from 1 species
UUGAUAGAAGCCAAAUAGCGGCGCUUCUUUGUUAAUGAAGUCAUUGGGUUGUACUCCUAUUAAG